UGGGGUUUUCAUAGAUAUCCUGUAUUAGGUUAGGGAAGUUCCCUCUAUUCCUAAUUUACUGAGUGAUGUUUUUUAAACAAAUCAGGAACCGACGUUGGAUUUUUCAAAUGCUUUUUCUGUACUGUUAAAAGAAAAACCUUAGACAAAUUAAAUUUAACAGAGUUUAAUUAAGCAAAGAACCACUCGCUAAUGGGGCAGCCCCCAAACCAAAAUAGGUUCAGAGAGGCUCUGGUGCUGCCGUGUGGCUGAAGAUUGGUGGACAGAAAAGGGAAAGGAGGCACAGAAAACGGAAGCAAAGCACAGAAACCGCCAGAGGGGCUGCAGCUCCAUGCUUGCCUUAUCUGAACACGGUUGGAAUGGCCGGCACCCUUGAUGAGCGGAAACCUGGGUGUUGCUCUGUCACCCAGGCUGGAGUGCAGUGGUGCCAUCAUAGCUCACUGCAAUUGUUACAGGAGAGGGGUCCUGAUCCAGACCCCAAGAGAGGGUUCUUGGAUUUGGAUCCUGUGCAAGAAAGAAUUCAGGUGACUUAGAAUGCCUGACCAUGUGGGAAUGCAGCCCAGUAGGACUCAGUCUCAUUUUACCCAGCCCCUGUUCAAGAUGGAGUCGCUCUGGUUCACACGCCUCAGACACAGCCUCUGCCUCCCGCCUCAGCCUCCUAAGCAGCUGGGACUACAGUGCAUACCUGAUUUUCUCGACCUCUUUUAUGAAAUAUCCCCGCCAGACUCCCUCGACCGUGCCACCCCCAGGUUCCCGUGCAUACACAACAUUGCGGGAUAGGUAUUGUGGAAUGAGGAUCCGUGUUACGACCUACAGAAGAUGUGGCUGUGAAGUCAGGAGUCACGGUCUCAGAGUUGACUGCACUGCCUCGUAGCUGUGUGACCUUCAGGAUUUUGUUCAACCCCCUCUGAGCUUCAGUUUGCUCUCUGGGAAGACUCCAAGGAUAAGAGCAUCUACCUCCUCAGCCUGCUGUGAGAGUUAACAGGGCCAGGGCCAAAGACGCUUUGUCUGACUGCUGGUCUGCGGGGAGCUCUAAAUAUGAAUCUGCUACAUCACCUUCACUUUUGAAUUCGGCUCUGAUGUUCCAAAUGUUCUUGGCCGUUCCUUCGUGUUUCUCCUGUACGAAUUUCAGCUUCUUUUUGCCAAGUAUCUCCCCACCCCCGCCCACCCCCACCCCCAAAUAAACUCACUAGAAUGUUGGCUGAA
rnacentral:lncRNA from 10 species